GACGUAGGGCGCGAGCGUUGUCCGGAAUCAUUGGGCGUAAAGCGCGCGUAGGCGGCCCGGUCAGUCCGUUGUGAAAGUCAAAGGCUCAACCUUUGAAUGCCGACGGAUACUGCCGGGCUAGAGUCCGGAAGAGGCGAGUGGAACUCCUGGUGUAGCGGUGGAAUGCGCAGAUAUCAGGAAGAACACCAACGGCGAAGGCAGCUCGCUGGGACGGAACUGACGCUAAGGCGCGAAAGCGUGGGGAGCGAACAGG
rnacentral:rRNA from 1 species